rnacentral:rRNA from 1 species
UACGGAGGGUGCAAGCGUUAUCCGGAUUCACUGGGCUUAAAGGGUGCGUAGGUGGGUUGGUAAGUCAGUGGUGAAAUCCCCGAGCUUAACUUGGGAACUGCCAUUGAUACUAUCAGUCUUGAAUACUGUGGAGGUUAGCGGAAUAUGUCAUGUAGCGGUGAAAUGCUUAGAUAUGACAUAGAACACCAAUUGCGAAGGCAGCUGGCUACACAUAUAUUGACUCUGAGGCACGAAAGCGUGGGGAUCAAACAGG